rnacentral:rRNA from 1 species
UCGGCUUGCAGUGGGGAAUAUUGCACAAUGGGGGGAACCCUGAUGCAGCGACGCCGCGUGGAGGAUGAAGGCCUUCGGGUUGUAAACUCCUUUUGUCGGGGACAAUGGUGAUGGUACCUGGCGAAUAAGCCACGGCUAACUCUGUGCCAGCAGCCGCGGUAAGACAGGGGUGGCGAGCGUUGUUCGGAAUUACUGGGCUUAAAGGGCGCGUAGGCGGUGGUGUAAGUCUGGGGUGGAAUGCUACAGCUUAACUGUAGAGCUGCCCUGGAAACUGCAUUACUUGAGUCGGUGAGGGGAAGGUGGAAUUCCAGGUGUAGCGGUGAAAUGCGUAGAUAUCUGGAGGAAGGUCUGUGGCGAAGGCGACCUUCUGGCACUUGACUGACGCUGAGGCGCGAAAGCGUGGGGAGCAAACAGGAUUAGAUACCCCAGUAGUCCAAGCCG